GAUGAACGCUGGCUGCGUGCCUAAUACAUGCAAGUCGAGCGAACAGACGAGGAGCUUGCUCCUCUGACGUUAGCGGCGGACGGGUGAGCAACACGUGGAUAACCUACCUAUAAGACUGGGAUAACUUCGGGAAACCGGAGCUAAUACCGGAUAAUAUAUUGAACCGCAUGGUUCAAUAGUGAAAGACGGUUUUGCUGUCACUUAUAGAUGGAUCCGCGCCGCAUUAGCUAGUUGGUAAGGUAACGGCUUACCAAGGCAACGAUGCGUAGCCGACCUGAGAGGGUGAUCGGCCACACUGGAACUGAGACACGGUCCAGACUCCUACGGGAGGCAGCAGUAGGGAAUCUUCCGCAAUGGGCGAAAGCCUGACGGAGCAACGCCGCGUGAGUGAUGAAGGUCUUCGGAUCGUAAAACUCUGUUAUUAGGGAAGAACAAAUGUGUAAGUAACUAUGCACGUCUUGACGGUACCUAAUCAGAAAGCCACGGCUAACUACGU
rnacentral:rRNA from 1 species